rnacentral:rRNA from 1 species
UACGAAGGGGGCUAGCGUUGCUCGGAAUCACUGGGCGUAAAGGGUGCGUAGACGGGUCUUUAAGUCAGGGGUGAAAUCCUGGAGCUCAACUCCAGAACUGCCUUUGAUACUGAAGAUCUUGAGUUCGGGAGAGGUGAGUGGAACUGCGAGUGUAGAGGUGAAAUUCGUAGAUAUUCGCAAGAACACCAGUGGCGAAGGCGGCUCACUGGCCCGAUACUGACGCUGAGGUGCGAAAGCGUGGGGAGCAAACAGG